UACGUAGGGGGCAAGCGUUGUCCGGAAUCAUUGGGCGUAAAGAGCGCGUAGGCGGUCCGGUAAGUCCGCUCUGAAAGUCCGGGGCUCAACCCCGGGAGGCGGGCGGAUACUGUCGGGCUAGAGUCCGGAAGAGGCGAGUGGAAUUCCUGGUGUAGCGGUGGAAUGCGCAGAUAUCAGGAGGAACACCGAUGGCGAAGGCAGCUCGCUGGGACGGUACUGACGCUGAGGCGCGAAAGCGUGGGGAGCGAACAGG
rnacentral:rRNA from 1 species